UAACACAUGACUGGGUGCUCGGUAAUCUC
rnacentral:piRNA from 1 species